UUUUUUUUUUUUUUUUUUUAAAUGAAGUGUUUUUAAAAACGACAAAAAAAGAGACUGUUCUGUUCUUGUUUUUUGUAUAUGUCGGGACAUUUUCAUGUGUUCUCUUGAUUCAUCGCUCCCCUUUUUGUGUUUUGAUUGUGUGUGUGCUCAUGCCUGUUCAGUGUACAAAUAUCUAAAUACAGGAUUAAUACCCCACUUCGCCCCCAGAGGGCUCCGGGAGCACAGAGGAGGACACGGCUCUGGCAAUAAUGAAAAAACAAAACAAAAAAAAAAUCUUAUCACCGAAGCCAAAACGCAGCGAGAGAGAGAAACGAGAUUCGAUGCAGGACGAUCUGAAUUCAGCCACACAGUGCAAUGGAGGGAAACCGGCAAGAUGCUUCAACCUGACAGGAUAUUGAGGCUCCUGUAGCCCCACUGCGCCCCCUUGUGUGUUGUCGUGGGCGCUGCCUCCUGUCCUCCGUCUCCCUGCUAGGGGGCGCUCUUCUGCUGCAGCUGAAAGGUGGAUUGAGAGGUUCCUCUACCCCCCCCCCCUCACAGUUUCACUGCUGUGUUGAAGUCCGGUCUGACUGCUCCCACCAGCUGGGUUAUGGAAGACACAGAAGACUCCAGUCUUGCAGGUUGGGGAGCGGGGAGCGGGGCAGGGGGGUUCCAGGAUGAGAUCCGGCAACGCCAGACUCCUCCGGGCAUGGAAGGAAGCCGGGAUGGGGCGGUUUGGAAUGGUUUCCUGAACUCAGGAUGUUUUCCGUGGCAGGAGGCGGGGCAUUCUUGCAGCUGAUUCCUGAAGGCUCUGGGAUGGUCACAGGAACUGUCAAUCAAAAACAGCUGUUUUUAGAAAAAACUUUUUUUUUUUUUUUUUUUUUGAGAACUUUUCCAGAGGUUUCUAAAUUCAAGAUGAUUGCAGAAAUCCUUUUUUAACGCAGUGGGGACAGCAGCGUGUUGUGUUUCUGCGCUCGCCAGGCACUCCCGUGUCCCGGGUUCAUCUCCUAGGAGCUGCGCUGCGGCUCUGCACUGCGCUUCAGAGAGCAGAGCUCGGGAGACGCAGCCCGUGCGUUUUCCUCUCUCUGUGACGCAGUCGUCGGGACGUGGGUGUUGGGAUUGCAAACCUUUUUCGAGGAUUUUUCAUUGUAUUGUAACUUAUUUUGCCUGUACAAAGUGUUGAAUAUUUAUUACCCCUGUACAUAAUUCCUUAUUUUUAUAUAUGAAUAAAAAGUUCCAGUCACUCA